rnacentral:rRNA from 1 species
UAUGGGGGCCAUACCGGGGUUGUUCCACCCGUUCCCAUUCCGAACACGGUCGUGAAAUACCCCAGGGUCGAUGAUAGUGGGUAUUUUCCCGCGAAAGUAGAUCGCCCCCGUAU